rnacentral:lncRNA from 1 species
GCCCUGCCUGGCACCCUCCUGGUGGUCCUGGCGUGCUCGGGCAAGCACCCCAGGCGCACACUGCCUUCGCGCCCCUGCAAUACUCCAUGUCGGCGCCCCCACCGCAGCAGCAGCAGUGGGAUCCUACUGCCCUGGUUGCUGCCCUGAACCAGAUGUCUAUGAACCAAGGCGGCGCACCUUGGGUCAUGGACACCGGCGCCACUGCCCACAUGCACUCCCACGACGGUAUCCUUACUUUCCGCUCCUCUCCUUCCUCCCCGUCUGUCAUUGUCGGUGAUGGAACCUCUCUCUCUGUCACUGGGCAGGGCAACUGCCUUCUCUCCACGCCUUCCUCCAACUUUGCACUAAAUAAUGUUCUUAUUGUUCCAUCCAUUAUUCGCAAUCUCCU